rnacentral:sRNA from 1 species
UGCACCGAUAAAUAUUUAAGCGACUGGGCGAAAGAUUUUUGUUCUGGAGAGGCACUUUUAAAUACACUCUUAAUUGAAUAGUUCAAGUAAAGAUUGUAGUUUGUGUAGUUAAUUUAAAAACGCACUUGUUUGGCUUUGGAAGCGUACUUUUAGUGCUUAAAAAUAAGUAUUUGGAUGGUUUUUGAAAGUUUCGACUUUUCCAACAGAGUAGUGCUUUUUAAAAAGAUAACUGAUUAUUGAGCCGAAUUCAGCACCUACCCUGUGGAUAGGAGUUAAAAGAAAAUUAGAAAUUUCUUUGUAUCUGUAUGCUUUUUUAAAGUAUGGAAUGUAUCUCAAGUUUUUAAUCCUCAGAAUCUGUUGCCUUUAAGUUUGUAGUUUAGCUGAAGUCUAAACUGAGAGUAAAGGUAAUGGUGGUAAAUUAGGCUGCAGUGUUAAAAGGAGUUGGAGGCAAAAACUGGUAAUUCAGGCAGACAGGGAAGUUAGUUUUUUAUGCCUUGAUUUUUGGUUUAGUUUUCAUGGUCUAACCCUUUUCAUUUUCCCCAGAUGUCAGAGGAUUUAGCAAAGCAGCUGGCAAGCUACAAAGCUCAGCUCCAGCAAGUUGAAGCUGCAUUAUCUGGAAAUGGAGAAAAUGAAGAUUUGCUAAAAUUGAAGAAAGAUUUACAAGAAGUUAUAGAACUAACCAAAGACCUUCUGUCAACUCAACCUUCUGAGACUCUUGCAAGUUCAGACAGUUUUGCUUCCACUCAACCUACUCAUUCAUGGAAAGUAGGAGACAAG